rnacentral:rRNA from 1 species
CUACGGGAGGCUCCAGUGAGGAAUCUUGGACAAUGGGCGAAAGCCUGAUCCAGCGACGCCGCGUGGGUGACGAAGGCCUUCGGGUUGUAAAGCCCUGUCAGAGGGGAAGAAGUUCUGACGGUACCCUCAGAGGAAGCACAGGCUAACUCCGUGCCAGCAGCCGCGGUAAUACGGAGUGUGCAAGCGUUGCUCGGAAUCACUGGGCGUAAAGGGCGCGUAGGCGGCUUGGUAAGUUGGAUGUGAAAGCCCUCGGCUCAACCGAGGAACUGCAUCCAAAACUGCCUGGCUAGAGUACGGAAGAGGAAGGCGGAAUUCCCAGUGUAGGGGUGAAAUCCGUAGAUAUUGGGAAGAACACCAGUGGCGAAGGCGGCCUUCUGGGACGAUACUGACGCUGAGGCGCGAAAGCGUGGGGAGCAAACAGGAUUAGAUACCCGGGUAGUC